rnacentral:tRNA from 1 species
UCCAGCAUAGCUCAAUGGCAGAGCAAUCGGCUGUUAACCGAUGGGUUCCUGGUUCGAGUCCAGGUGCUGGAG